UUCACAAAUGCGUUCUUGGCCAAUGGGAGCGCGCGCUGGUUAUAAGGAUUUACAUUCUGUUUGAGGGAUGCCGUUACAAUUCGAAACAAAUUUCUGUCUUUUUACGGGUGAGAUGUGGGAAUCCAGCUGUCCAUGGUUUAGGGACUCUGCAGGUGUAGAGUUCCUGGGGACACUCAAGGGGUGGUGUUGGAUUGUCCAAACAAGCCGAGGCAGACUGGCAGGCGCCAGCGCCGUGACGUCACCCAUUCAUCCGAGCCUUGACGCCUGUCAGCCUGGCGCCGAGAGGGCGGUCGCUAUGGAGACCUCAAACAACAGGCUCUCAUUCCCCCAUUCACCUGCAUAGCGCGCAAACCCUGAGAACAAACUGGCUGCGGUGAUCAUCAUUCAUUUGUCACCUUAAGUCACUCUGAUGAUAUUACCGCCCCACGCACCUGCAAACGGCCAUUGUUGCCAGUUUACUCGAAGACUAUUUCGGGAAAGAAAGCUAAAGAUGGAGAGCUGUAAAGUGAAAGCAUGCAUUGUACCGCAUUUUUACCAAAUUGAUAGGAUAAGUUGUGGCAGCAUUCCUUCACAUGGAAAUAUGUCUAUAUGCAGGAGUCUGUCUCUCUGUGGAUGUCUCAUCACAUGAACACACUAGCAACCAGCAAAAUGUGUUAUAUGAAAUAUGCAGCUUUUCUCAAAGCUAGAAUGUCCAAGAAAAAGUGAUGUAUUCAUUAACAAAGCUAUUGAUUGCAAACAGUGUUUUAUAGUGCAACUAUAUGUCAUGCAACAUUUUAAGACCAUAUGCGAAAAUAACUAUAAAGGUUAUUU